rnacentral:misc_RNA from 1 species
GAAAUGCGAUAAGUAAUGUGAAUUGCAGAAUUCAGUGAAUCAUCGAAUCUUUGAACGCACAUUGCGCCCGCCAGUAUUCUGGCGGGCAUGCCUGUUCGAGCGUCAUUACAACCCUCAGGCCCCCGGGCCUGGCGUUGGGGAUCGGCGGAAGCCCCCUGCGGGCACAACGCCGUCCCCCAAAUACAGUGGCGGUCCCGCCGCAGCUUCCAUUGCGUAGUAGCUAACACCUCGCAACUGGAGAGCGGCGCGGCCACGUCGUAAAACACCCAACUUCUGAAUGUUGACCUCGAAUCAGGUAGGAAUACCCGCUGAACUUAAG